rnacentral:rRNA from 1 species
CUACCGCUAUUGGAGUUCGAUUAAGCCAUGCGAGUCGAGAGUCCUCGGGACUCGGCGUACCGCUCAGUAACACGUGGGUAACCUGCCCUAUGCUGGGGAAUAACCUCGGGAAACUGAGAAUAAUGCCCCAUAGCCCACUACGCCUGGAACGGUGAGUGGGUCAGAGCCCCGGCGGCAUAGGAUGGGCCUGCGCCGUAUCAGGUUGUAGGGGGUGUAAAGUACCCUCUAGCCAUCAACGCGUACGGGUGUUGGGAGACAUUGCCCGGAGAUGGAUUCUGAGACACGAAUCCAGACCCUACGGGGUGCAGCAGGCGCGAAAACUUGGCAAUGCGAGAAAUCGUGACCAGGGAACUCCAAGUGCGUAGGGUAAGACCUACGCUUUUCUUGACUCUUCAAAGGUCUUGGAAUAAGGGGUGGGUAAGGACGGUGCCAGCCGCCGCGGUAAUACCGGCGCCUCAAGUGGUAGUCGCUUCUAUUGGGCCUAAAACGUCCGUAGCCGGUCUGGUGCAUUCGUGGGUAAAUCAACCCGCUCAACGGGUUGAAUUCUGCGAGCACGGCCAGACUUGGGACCGGGAGAGGUGUGGGGUACUCUCAGGGUAGGGGUUAAAAUCCUGUCAUCCUGAGAGGACCACCUGUUGCGAAGGCGCCACACUAGAACGGAUCCGACGGUCAGGGGCGAAACCUAGGGGCACGAACCGGAUUAGAUACCCGGGUAGUCCUAGGUGUAAACGCUGUGGACUUGAUGUUGGGGGCGCUCCGAGCGCUCUCAGUGUCGAAGCGAAGGUGAUAAGUCCACUGCCUGGGGAGUACGGUCGCAAGGCUGAAACUUAAGGAAUUGGCGGG